AACGCACGAGACCUGCGGACCUGCGGAAGGAUCAUUACCGAGUUUACAACUCCCAAAUCCAAUGUGAACGUUACCAAACUGUUGCCUCGGCGGGAUCUCUGCCCCGGGUGCGUCGCAGCCCCGGACCAAGGCGCCCGCCGGAGGACCAACCAAAACUCUUUUGUAUACCCCCUCGCGGGUUUUUUAUAUCUGAGCCAUCUCGGCGCCUCUCGUAGGCGUUUCGAAAAUGAAUCAAAACUU
rnacentral:misc_RNA from 1 species